rnacentral:tRNA from 1 species
GGCCUGUUAGCUCAGCUGGUUAGAGCGUGGUGCUAAACGCCAAGGUCGUGGGUUCGAUCCCCACAUGGGCCA